UCUCCUCUCUUUCUCUUCCUCUCUAUCUUUUUGUCUCUCUUUAUGUCUAUUGCAUUAUGCCUGAAUAAUUUUCAGCCUUUUUUUUUUCCUCCCUUCUUGCACGCACAUGCUAAAAUAACAAGACAAAGCUGCAAGGUGGUUGCUGCAGUCCCUGUCUCUAGGACAAAACCAAGAAAGCUCGUGAUUGCAAUGCCACCUUUCCUUUUUUUUUCUUUUUUUUUUUUUCCCCCCCCCACCCAUGCUCGGUGAUUAAACUUCCCCAGGAUGGGGAAGAAAAAGGAGCUGGAAAUGAAAUAGGGUUGAGGAAAAAUCCCAUUGCAGCAGCUGCAGCCAGUGGUGUCUGCUGCCAGAUGUGCUAAGGUUCCUGGGGUCCUUGACACUAAAAGGCAGUAUUAAAAUAUUUGGAGACAAAAGCUGCAUCCUCAGUGAUCAUUUUCUUUAUUUAACAUGGCAGCAGGCGCCGUGUGGGGGAAAAUCAACACGCUGGAUGUUGAAUUGGACUUUUCUCCUUUCUAGGAUGAAAGGAUGUUAUCUAUCCCGUGCCAAGAGGGAACUGAGGUGCAGGGGGAGGGGAAGAAAGUCUUCAAAACUAGCCCGCCAUGAGCAAUGAACAUAUGGCUGUUACUAUCAGCACUGGUGUAUUUGCGGCGAUGCCUAUCAACAUCCACCAGAGAGCAGGGCAGCUCCAAAACCCACAUCUUUUAUGCUGUGGAAAUGGAUGGAGACAGCAACACAGCCAGCUUCUUGGCCAAACAACAUGGAAUGCAGUUCAUUUCAAAGCCAGGAAAGGACACAUUUGGAUGUGUUUGGCAGAGAUUCCUAAGGGUAACAGAAGCAGUAUACAAGCAAGAACAAAGUCAGGUACUGGUCUCUUAGCCUGUAAGGCUUGUGCAUGAUGUAUAUGAGAGUGAUUUCCAGCAGAGUGAAGCUUAUCACAGAUCCACCUAAAAGGUGAAAUGGGUGAAUAUCAGACAGCUCAUUAUAGAGACAAGCAUGCUGCAUUCCCAAAGUAGGAUGACAGAACAAGUCAUGAUCUUGUACAGAAGGAAAAUGAGAUCCCUGGUGAAGCCUACAAUGUCAUUGACUCUGAAGAAGGACUCAGAGACCCAUUGGUGUUUAAUGACCCUUAUUGGCCUCCACAAAAGAAACUGCCCUGUUUGUAUUUACAUCCAGUCAUUUAUUGCCCAUUAAAGAAGUAAUGCUAUGUUAAUGUAAGGGAAAAAAUCAAUGCUACUCAGAUCAGUAGCUGUGGGGAAACGGUGCAGCAGCUGGUUUGCAAACAGCAAGCCCACAUAGAUCAAUGAAAUUACAAGCUAAAUCUGCUGAUGCUCACAAACUGCUCCAGCAUUGUGAUGUCUAACCUUUCUCAAGUUCAAGAUCUCUGGCAAGCCAGCAAUAGCUAAAUGGAAAAAAAAAAAAAAAAGACAAAAAAAAAGCAAGAAAGAAAGAAACAAAGAAAGAACAUAACAGGCUGGUGGAGAAUUUUUAGCAUGAUAUGUAAUAUUCCACUUUUGAAGUUAUCAGUAUAACUGCACGUUUGUAACAGAUAUAAAAACCACUGUAAUCUCCCAGUGAGCAAAGCUGCGAUCUACACUCUCUGGAGAUUUUCUUCCUUAAGAAUGUUCAAAUCUGUCACAUAUUACCUUGAACUGUAACACUGCAGGGCUAGAGAGCACUUCAGUAAUGUGGUUGUUAAUGUGAGUUCCAGGAAAUAAUUUAUCAAUGAGCAACAGUACAGCUUCUGCCAUGUGCAAUGUCUUUUAUUUUAUGGCAUGGUUGUAGCCUUAUAAUGGUUUGAAUUUUGUUAGCUUGCAAAUUAAACAUGCAAAAUAUUUGACUUGUUGAAUGCAAGAUUAAUUUGCAUAUUUUAUGCUAUUUUUAUGGUAAGGGAAGGAGCCCCUUUAUGCCAAGGAAAACAAUACUGGAAUUUAUCAAUAUCAUGUGAAUAACGUGCCUUUCAAAUGAUUAUUUUCAGGGCAGUCCUCACCCUAUUUGUGCCACUUUUUUAAACACAGCAAAAGCAGAAAAAAAGGCAUCUUGAGUUUCCUUCAAAUAUUGACACGUUUUUUGUGGGGGACAAAAUGUGUACUUUGCAAAUAUACAAUUCUUAUUGUCUACUAAUCUCCUCUUGCUUUACAUAUAUUAAUUAAAUGUCACAGUUUGAUUCCAUUCUAUUGUAUCUGUUUUGCAAGUUGUAAAUAAAAAAACAUUAAGAGGUUGGAAACAUUUUUUUUGGUCUUCCAGCCAGGGAGUAGCAGAACUGUAAAUGGAAGUCCAGUCCUUAUUAACUGUCUUCUGUUAUUGUAGGCUUGCAAUAUUUUACAAACCAAGAACAUUCAAAAAUAAAAUCAACAA